UACGUAGGGGCUAGCGUUGUCCGGAUUUAUUGGGCGUAAAGAGCUCGUAGGCGGCCUGUCGCGUCUGCUGUGAAAUCCCGGGGCUUAACCCCGGGCGUGCAGUGGAUACGGGCAGGCUGGAGGCAGGCAGGGGAGAACGGAAUUCCCGGUGUAGCGGUGAAAUGCGCAGAUAUCGGGAGGAACACCGGUGGCGAAGGCGGUUCUCUGGGCCUGUACUGACGCUGAGGAGCGAAGCGUGGGGAGCGAACAGG
rnacentral:rRNA from 1 species